GCUUUGGUUUAAUCAUUUCGUUCCAUCUGGUUAAUAAACAAAACACCGCUUUUUGUGAUUCCGAUUACAUAUCUUCGAUCCACCAUAUCCGCAGUUCAUGGGAGCGUAUCUUACAUUGUUCUCGGAACCGGUCUCAAGGAGUGUAUCCUCAGCGGUCUCCUCUCCGUCGGUGGUGUCAAGUCAGAUUAGAUCUCCGAUUGAUUGAUUUUGAGAUUCCUUUCUCAAUCGUAGUGGGUAUCAGAUGUGAUGAAAGUGAUUACCGAGUUCGAGAGAUGUGGGCUAUUAGUUUGGGAGACUGAUCGUGUUUUGUUUAUGGAUAAUUGCGCAUGGACAGCAACGAUUACUAUGGUGGAGAAUCAACAUAGCUUAAUCUCAAUCAGCUUUGGAAGAAGUUCAGGGAAGAAGAGAAGGCUCAUGAACAUUUAGGCGCUAGCAGGGACUACAAUAGUGUUGUUCGUUUGGUUGCCACAGGUACCUGCAUCUGCGGCUGCAGCUAUUUUUUAAAAAAUAUUGUGUUCGUUUGAUUGACGCAGGUUCCUGCGUCCGGCGCCGCGUCCUGCGCUGGCUUUCUGGUGUUGUCUGUUAUUGAAAAUCUCACUGUAAGUGGGUUUUUGUUUUAGGAUCAUAUGAAGAUGUUAAUACUGUUUCUUGUGAUCCUUGCUAAGGUUCUGGUAACAUCCUUACACCUCUAAAGCUCGGGAAUGUAAAAAACAAAGGACAUGAGCGGUUACUGCAGCAAAUCAGAACAAACCUACCAUGUCCUCAGUGCUUCUCAGAGAACCGGACAGCUUCUUUGAAGGCCGUGAGUACCACCAAACCUACGAUGACGGUUGAAGAAGUAGUGAAGAGAAAGGAGGAAGAAGAGCAGAGCAGAGAAAGUAACACCAACAAAGAAGGGAGGGGCUUGGAUGUUCCCUGGUUCUUAAAGCCUUGCUCAAUGGCCAACUAAACUCUAAAAAUAAAAUUUACGAGAUAUUUUUAUAUAUUUGAUUCAUUCUUUUGUUAAAGUUCAUUUCAUUUUUAAACUGUCAUUGAUGAUCUUGCUCAGAUUCAUCAUGUAAUCCCUAGCAAUUUGUAUCAUCAAUCUCAUCUCUUUACGUACAAUAAAUAAAAUUUGUUUAAAUAGA